rnacentral:rRNA from 1 species
CCUACGGGGUGCAGCAGUGGGGAAUAUUGGACAAUGGGCGAAAGCCUGAUCCAGCCAUGCCGCGUGUGUGAAGAAGGCCUUCGGGUUGUAAAGCACUUUCAGUGGGGAAGAAAGCCUUGGGGCUAAUACCCUCGAGGAAGGACAUCACCCACAGAAGAAGCACCGGCUAACUCCGUGGCCAGCAGCCGCGGUAAUACGGAGGGUGCGAGCGUUAAUCGGAAUUACUGGGCGUAAAGCGCGCGUAGGCGGUCUGAUAAGCCGGUUGUGAAAGCCCCGGGCUCAACCUGGGAACGGCAUCCGGAACUGUCAGGCUAGAGUGCAGGAGAGGAAGGUAGAAUUCCCGGUGUAGCGGUGAAAUGCGUAGAGAUCGGGAGGAAUACCAGUGGCGAAGGCGGCCUUCUGGACUGACACUGACGCUGAGGUGCGAAAGCGUGGGUAGCAAACAGGAUUAGAUACCCUAGUAGUC